rnacentral:rRNA from 1 species
AUCCUGGCUCAGAACGAACGCUGGCGGCAGGCUUAAUACAUGCAAGUCGAACGGUUGUAGCAAUACAGCAGUGGCAGACGGGUGAGUAACACGUGAGAACCUACCUAGGGGUACGGAAUAACUCAGGGAAACUUGUGCUAAUACCGUAUACGACCUUCGGGUGAAAGAUUUAUCGCCCCUAGAUGGGCCCGCGUUGGAUUAGCUAGUUGGUGGGGUAAAAGCCUACCAAGGCGACGAUCCAUAGCUGGUCUGAGAGGAUGAUCAGCCACACUGGGACUGAGACACGGCCCAGACUCCUACGGGAGGCAGCAGUAGGGAAUCUUGGACAAUGGGCGAAAGCCUGAUCCAGCCAUGCCGCGUGAGUGAUGAAGGCCUUAGGGUUGUAAAGCUCUUUCGCCAGGGAAGAUAAUGACGGUACCUGGAUAAGAAGCCCCGGCUAACUUCGUGCCAGCAGCCGCGGUAAUACGAAGGGGGCUAGCGUUGUUCGGAAUUACUGGGCGUAAAGCGCACGUAGGCGGUUUUCCAAGUUGGAGGUGAAAUCCCUGGGCUCAACCCGGGAACUGCCUCCAAAACUGGAUGACUCGAGUCCGAGAGAGGUGAGUGGAAUUUCCAGUGUAGAGGUGAAAUUCGUAGAUAUUGGAAAGAACACCAGUGGCGAAGGCGGCUCACUGGCUCGGUACUGACGCUAAG